rnacentral:rRNA from 1 species
GGGCCCGCACAAGCGGUGGAGCAUGUGGUUUAAUUCGAUGAUACGCGAGGAACCUUACCAGGGCUUAAAUGUUAGGUGACAGAUCUAGAAAUAGAUUUUUCUUCGGACACUUAACAAGGUGCUGCAUGGUUGUCGUCAGCUCGUGCCGUGAGGUGUCAGGUUAAGUCCUAUAACGAGCGCAACCCCUGUUGUUAGUUGCCAGCGAGUAAUGUCGGGAACUCUAGCAAGACUGCCAGUGCAAACUGUGAGGAAGGUGGGGAUGACGUCAAAUCAUCACGGCCCUUACGUCCUGGCUACACACGUGCUACAAUGGUAUCUACAACAGGAAGCAAGACUGCGAAGUUAAGCA